rnacentral:misc_RNA from 1 species
AUGCAAUAUUGGUUUUUAUAUUGCCCUUGCUUACCUCUAUUAACAAAACUACAAAAGAUGUAUGAGAAAUGUGUUUUGAUCAUGUUGAGAGAACAUAAUAGAUGUUAUGAGUUAGUGAAUUUUGCCUAAACUUCGGGUCACAACAAAAUAAGCAGCACAGCUAAUUGAAAAUUGAAAUGAUGUAGAAAGAGCAGGAAAGGGAGAGGAAUAGUAAAAGAUCAAAGUGUUGUGAAUCUUAAAUACUGACUAAUAAGAAGUCCUCUACAGAAGAAAGGUCAAGUGACUAAAUGUGCAAGGCAAACUAACACUUUUACUUGUUAUCAUGUCAUAUUUCCCCUUCUUUUGACCUCCAAUGGCUUGUUGGUUAUCCAGUUCCACACUUUGCACUGGUCACACAGACAA